CCACGGAGCUGGAUCCAGUAAGCGCCGACUGGUUGGUCUGCGUUGAUUACGAAAUCGUAACGCUCUCCAGAGAAGGAGAUAAUUGUGUUGACCUGGAGAGAAAUUGGGUUGAUUUUUGAGAAAAUUAAUUGAAUAUAUAGUCUUUAAA